ACAGUCUUGGCAUCGAACUUGAGGUGAUGGGUCAUCUCGCAGAGAGCUCUUCACGUCUUGACUAUAUUGUUUGGGUUUUCACUGGUUUUACUAAUCACCACAAAGAAUGUACGCCCUUGCAUGGUGACAGGACGACUCAACCCAGACGACAACUCGACCCACUGGACAACUCAACCCAGCAGAAAAUUCGAUUUAUGGAACAAAACUACAUCUUGUUGAGCAACAUCAGACGCCUUUUCGACAAUACAACCAUCGCACUACAGUCCCAACACCCACCCUCCCUACAUUGGAGAGCAAAUCUUCAUCACAUUAAAAGCUUGUAAUCGCCUUUUCCUGAAAAUGCGGCAGCCAUAUGAUGUCCAAAGAUCAUGGGUCGGUCUCCAUUUUGGCAAAGGUCACGGCAUUACAUCGUGUACCCUUCAUGAGCGACGAACCAGCGGACCGCCGGGAAAGAGAGAAGCUAGUAAGAACAAUUUACCAGGAACGGCAUCUGAAUCACCAAUUUCGGUCAGCCCUGUUGCUCGAUCCCAACAUACGAACUCUCGGGCCAAACCCUUGCUAAAUACCCCAAGCCUCGGCCGAGAACUUCGGCUAAACUGGCUUAUGGCGCUCUCCAAGUGCCAUUUCAGCCUCAAAUCCCCUAAAAAUGCGCCAAUCCCCACGUACUGACUCGCUCAAGUUGGCUGGUUUGCAAAUCGACACACCGGCAGGUCUGAGAAACGCUGUGAAUGGGCUCAAAGCUCCUAAAGACGAGAAGAGAGAGGAACGAACUCGCCGGAAAACAUUGGGAAAAAAUCUAUGAGUACGACGACCACAUUUUCUUGGGCAGCCAGCAGCACUGGCCAUGAGCGGAGAGUGACUGACCAGCGAUCAAGGCUGCUCGUCUGUGGCCCCGGCCCCUGUUCUCCUUGCGCCGUCGCCAUCAGUUGAAGGGAUCGACCCAGUGACCGAUCGAGUAUACGCCGAUCCCAAGAACUGAAAU